CCUACGGGAGGCAGCAGUGAGGAAUAUUGGUCAAUGGACGAGAGUCUGAACCAGCCAAGCCGCGUGAAGGAUGAAUGCCCUAUGGGUUGUAAACUUCUUUUAUAUGGGAAUAAACUGUUCCACGUGUGGGCUUUUGUAUGUACCUUAAGAAUAAGGAUCGGCUAACUCCGUGCCAGCAGCCGCGGGAAUACGGAGGGUCCGAGCGUUAUCCGGAUUUAUUGGGUUUAAAGGGAGCGUAGGUGGUUUGUUAAGUCAGUUGUGAAAGUUUGGGGCUCAACCGUAAAAUUGCAGUUGAAACUGGCAGUCUUGAGUACAGUAGGGGUGGGCGGAAUUCGGGGUGUAGCGGUGAAAUGCGUAGAUAUCACGAAGAACUCCGAUUGCGAAGGCAGCUCACUGGACUGCAACUGACGCUGAGGCGCGAAAGUGUGGGUAGCAAACAGGAUUAGAUACCCUUGUAGUC
rnacentral:rRNA from 1 species